rnacentral:lncRNA from 1 species
UAAUAAUAAUAAUAAUAGCUACGCACGGGCCAACGGCCCCGCGUGUCUUAAGGAAGAGUCCUUCUUAGAACCCUACCGUACCCCUGUGGGACCCUGACUAGAGGCACCCCACGCAUCACCCUCUACUCAGCUCAUAGGAUCCGAAGAUCUGAGCUUAUCGGCCUACCAACCCUCCGAAUUCGGCCAGCGUAGAGUUUCCUCGUUGCACCAAUGGGAUCCGAACCCAGAGGGUCGAUACAACGAUUCUUCGGUGCCACGGUAGCCACGGACUCCAUACCGGAACACCUACGGUGAGGGGGGUGGGAUCCGAACCCACGACCUCAACCUUAUCCGCCGGGAAACGGGCCGAAUACGAGAUUCGAACCCGGGUCCGCAGGGUGAUAAGGAAGUGCUCUUACCUACUGAGCUACCCCCCCUCAGGACGCAGGACGGGUUUUAGUUGGGGUACGGUACAGGUGGUCGUCCUUCCAAAAGUAGUGUUGGGCCUUGCGUGCAACCCGGGAGUUGGGGGCAAGGAUUAGCGUACCUUGCGCCUUGGUGCGUAGGAAGUCCAGAAGUUCUCUGUCGUUCCACACUGCACAUUCACGGGUACCAUAAUUCCAGGUGCCCUCCCGGAUUUCUCCCUCCUCAAGAUCCCAAUCACUCCCUUCAUCUUCCCCCUCUCCAGAUUCGUCUUCCGGAUCAAGCGACACUUCACUCAUGUAAGUGUCACUGUCAGCCGGCGACGCCUGGUAGUCGGAGUCGGAGCCAGAAUCAUCAACUGGCGGAUGGUGGGUAGUGACAGGUCCUGAAGCGGGGGCCGAUGGGGCAUGAGAUGGCUGGGACCCACUGGGGCCCGCCUGGGUUGGGUCCUGCCUCUGGACCCCAGUAGUCUGAGCCAGGGAGCCAUCUUCAGGUGCCGGGGCGCAUGGGGAAGCGACAGCAGUAGCGGCUACCGCAGCCUCCUUGGCACGCUGGGUGGCCAUGGUCAGGGGCUUUGGCGUGCGCCAGGCGGCGACCUUCUUGGCAGUAGCCGUGGCGUGCCGCUCUGCAGCAUGAUCAGGGCAAAACCAUUUACCCUUGGGUACAGCGCGUAGCGCUGGGGUAAGGCAAUCGGUAUGGCAUCCAUGCGUCUCGCCGGGGGCGUCGCAUAACACCAGGUUGUUUGCCGGUUGGCCCUCCCCACAGAUCAAGCACCUCACGCUGUCAUCACUGCUGGUGGGUUCGUGAGGAGCAUAAUCUUGGAGUAGGCGGUUGGGUUGGCGGUACCGCUUGCCCUUCGCAUCAGCUGCGGCAGCAGUUGUUGCGGCGGGUACCUGCCGAUCACCCACAUCAAAGCGGACACGGGGACCGUUGUCGCCACCGGCGGCAGUUUCCUGCGAGGGCGGCUCGGUCUCAUCAUCCUCGGACGUGGGUAAUUUGGGAGAGUUGGUUGGCUGGGUAGGUGGUAGGAUGGGCUGAGUCGGCGUAGGCACGUCCUGAGCGGGUGCCGAGGCUACGUUAGCAGGCUGCCGGGCGGCAGUAGUUGUAGCCAUUGGCGCGUUGACACGUCGCGGCUCAGGGCCUUGCGGUGGUACCGGCGGAGCUAUAGGCACUCCUCGCGGGGCGGCCGCGGCUGGCCUAGCCGGAAGGUAACGGGUCAUGAGCCAUUCACGGUCUACGCCCCGGUAGGAGUCGGUAAUGCCGUCCGACAGCAUGAUCUCGAUGGCGUGUUGACGGUGAGAGGUAGUCGUGACGGCGUGAGGUGGACGGGCGCAGCGCGAAGCAAGAAAGGUGCUAGGCGUCGUGCAUAGGUCAAGGCCGGUAGUGCAGGGAUCCGUGGGCAGUUGCUCUUCGGCAGGUAGGCCAGGGGGUUCGAAGCAAUCUUCGAGCUCCAGGCGUGUUAGUCCGUCAGCAACGGAGUUGGUAGCGCCGGGCCGGUGGCGAAUCUCCAUGUCGUACUGCAUCAGCCGCAUGGCCAGACGAGCAAGUUUGCCCGUCAGAUUCUUGGACGUGAGCAGGAACUUGAUUGCAGAAUGAUCGGUGUAGAGAAUGAAGCGGCCUGUGCCGUACAGAAACGGAUGGAAACGUGUAACGCCGAAUACGGCCGCAAAUGCCUCUCCAUCCACGGAAGCCCAGUUGAGAGCGGGGCCGGUCAGGCGCUUGGAUGCGUAGCUGACAACAUACUCACGCCCUUGGUCAUCGCGUUGGGAGAGACAGGCCGCAACAGCAUGGCGUGCCCAAUCCACCGAAAGCUCAAACUGUCGACCCCAGUCAGGAGCACGCAGAAUGGGUUCGGAAGUAAGGGCAUCGCGCAGCUGUUCAUAGGCGCUUUGCUCCUCAUCCCCCCAUCUCCAUUGUGUGCGUGGCGAGCACAGGUUGUAGAGUGGGCGAGCGAUGCUGGCAUAAUCCUUCACCCAGCACCGGAAGUAACCCGUGAUGCCCAAGAACGCCUUCACUUGGCGUGGGGUCCUGAGCUGGGGGUACUUCUUGAGGUUGGCAAUGUGCUUGGCCGCGGGUUUGAUCUCGCCGGUGGUGCCAUUAAUGGCAUGACCCAGGAAGGUCAACUCGGGGGUGUAGCACUCAAAUUUGUCAACACUCACACGUAGUCCGGAGAUGCGGAGGAGUGUGAACACGUCAGACAACACACGGCAGUGGUCCUGUAUGUUAUCGGCGUAUGCGGCCACAUCAUCUACCCAGCUCUGCACGCUGAUGUUCAGGAGGGGCCGCAGCACCGCCUGCAUUGCACGGCAGUAGUAGGCAGGAGAGCUGCGGAGCCCUUGGGCCGCUCGGCAGAACUCAUACUGCCCACCUAGGCGGCUGGCAGUAGGCACCGCGAAUGCUGUGCAUUCACGGCUGCGUUCGUUUAAUUCCAGUUGGAAGAACCCGGACACGGCAUCCAUACUGGAGAAACGGCGCGUGGCAGGGGGAUUGGGGGUUAGGCGUUGAACUUGCUCAUCCACGUGGCCCAUGGGCCACUGGACUGGUUUAGUAACCGAGUUCAGCAUCCGGUAGUCCAGGACGCAACGGUAGCCCUUCCCAGGUCCCUUUGGAAUCAUGAUGACUGGUGCGCACCAGGGGGAGCACGAGGGCCGAAUCACACCGGCGGCAAGUAGCCUUUCCACUUCAUCGUGUAGGGCUUCCAACUCUACACGCGACAUGCGGUAGGGCUGGAUGGCGAUGGGGGUAGCAUCACCAGUGUCAAUGUCCAUUUCCACCCAAGUGCAGUGACCCAGUUGACUGUUAUUCAGGGCAAAGACGUCAUAGUUGUCCCGCAGGCACUGACGUAGCAUGUCCUGUUCAGCAGGGGUAGCACUGGUGGGGACACGGUCCAUUAGCGCAGAUACAACCGCGGCGUCUUCGUUCGCCUGGCGGUCUUGCAAAGUCUGCGCCGCGUAGGUCCGUGCGGUUGCCAGUUGCUCUUCAGGCGUAAGUCGCAUGACGUAGCUGAAGUCAGGCAAAGGCUUGGCUGGGAUUUGCGAAGCACCGUACCUCGGAUGGGCCGCCUUGAGGUCGGGAGUGUCCAGUGAUAACCACCAAUCACCAGCUUCGUCCUCUACCUCCGUGUCAGAGGUAUCGGUGGGGGAUGCCAGGGCCCAGUCGUGCCAGUCAUCGUCCUGAGAGCCCCACUCGUCUUCCGAAUCGGUAGGUGGUGGGGUGUCUGACAGGCCAAGGGCUGGAGGCUCACAUGGCGCAUCAUUCGAUGGUCCGUCGGCAAUAGCAGUUGGCCGCAUGACGUCAAGGUAGGCAUGCGUGUCCGUGCGCGCUGGAAGAGUUUGCAGCGCCAGGACUUCUCGUCCGUCGGCAAUAGGUUCUGCCUCGGUAUCAAAGGAGAGAACCUCAGGAGUGGAGCCCGCGGGGUCCUGCCGUUGGUGUGCGGGGGCUGGUGUGGCACCGUCCGAGUCGGCGGGAAUCAGGGGGACGUGCGAGUGUGACGGGAUCGGCACCUGCCAACCUUUGGGUGUGUUCGGAACAGGUAAUGGUAAUGAUGCCGUUCUUGCCUCGUGGAUAGCUUUCCACGCACCAAGGGUGCAUGAAAUCGUAGUAGUGUGUGUGGGCGCGGUCACGGUCGACCUCGUCCCACGGUUCACACCUUAAACGGCGGGGCAUCCAGGUACGGCGUGGGUGGCGGAACGCAAAUGGUACCGCCCCAUCAUGGGGGCACCCGUUGGCGUCCAGAUUCACCUCGUCUUCGGGAACCGGCGACAGGAGAGGGCUCGCCGCGCCAUCACUGAUGGCCGCCCGUACGAGGGGGGAAACUGGGCUGAAGGGCUGCAGAGGCUCAUCGGGCUCAAGUCCAUACAAGACGCGAGCUGCGUCGGCGUCACUCAAGCCCGCCAGCCUUCGUGCAAGCACGGGUGUGUAUCGUAAUGCUGCGUAAUAGCACGCCUCAAGCCGGCUGAGGCUUGCGCCAGGAGCAUGCGGCUGUAGGAGGUAGAGUAGUGCUUCGCAGUAGUAGUACAUGGCGUUCUCAGACGGGGUAGCAGUAGCGCUACCUUGCUGUUAAACGCGGUCGUGUAUCCUUCCCCAGUAUAGCAUCUGCCACUCCCAUACCCAGGUGGGAAAGGGACGGUCUGCGUAGUACCAGGUGAGGCUCUGCCGGGACAUACCCUGGUUGAUGGAGGGGAGUAGCGGUAUGACACCGCACUCAAUGAGUAGUUGGAUAUGUUCAACCAGCGCUGGCUCCAGCUCAGGCACAUACGCGUAGCACAAGGCUUGACAGCUGUCGGCAGACGUAUAGGUCGCGGCCUCGUGUCGGAAGACGAUGAGCGCCUGGUUGAGGAGGGUGUAACCUGCUUGUGGGUCAAACAGGUCAGCCGGCAACCCUUCGGAGUGAAUAAACCAGAGGGCGGCGGCGACUGCUGGGCUGAGUGAGAAGUGUCGGCCCGUUGCUUCCCAGGCGGCGACGGGGGAGUAGCCGGUGAGCAACAGGUCGUGCAGCGCUGCCGUGUAACCAGGCUUGGAGUAGUCAUCCGGGAAAGCCUGGGGCACGGAGCAAUGCGGGCGGGGGAAGACGCUGUAGAUGUUGUAGGGGGUGAGCUCCCACUCACGUGUCCUGGCGUAAUGGUCAUGAUGGCGCCAUAGCUCGAGGGAGAAGGGUUGCAGCUCCCGGGGAUGGCGCUCAACUGCCGGCCAGGUUCAGAUGACGUUCUCAUGCAGCGCCUGCAUGAGGUUGGUGUAAAGCCACGGGUGCAACAACACAGUUGGUUGCCGGUCGUGUAAUCGGUACACGAACCGUGACAGUUCUUCGUGGGUAGCCUGAAGCAUGCUGUCGGGCGCGCCCGUGUAAAAUAAGGCCCACAAGGCCUCAUAAAGUAAGGGACCAUCAAGGUGGAAACCGUUCCGGCGCGCCCACGCAAUGGCAUCCAUGGUGGGUGGUACCAUGAACUUGUGUGAGCGGUCUUCGUCGGUUUGCGUCCCCGGGUUCUCAGUGCCGGUGUUUCCUCCAUCGGUCGCACCGGUUGUGUCAACAUCAUCGAAAUCAUCCGACAUGCGCGAGAUGAUUUCGGUUACCUGCUGCCACUCGGUGUCUUCCGGUGAGGCGGCCUGAGUGUGGGGCGAUGGCACUACUUCGGUGUCCUCCGGUGGGUUGGAACGGGUUCCUUGGGCCCCGCCAGAGAACGGUAUGGCGUCAGACGCCGGAUAGUGGCGUGCAAGUUGUGCACACAUACCCUUGAGCUCGCUUCUCAGCUCAUCCGGAGUGGUUGUGGCCAGAGUAUGGAGCUCCGCAGGGGUGAAGUCCGGCGCGGGACUUCCCAACCUGUGAGUUUGGCGAUGGAGGAGGGUGUGACGUACGAAAACGCACGCCCGUUGCCACCUAGCCUUCCUUUCCGCCUGCCUUGCCGCAGCCCCGUCGGUCCGGGGUUCACCAGCCAGCGGGAAUGGCUGAGUGGCUUCUGCAGCGGCGGGACCGGCCUGGGUCGCCGAGGGGAUAGGAACAGCGGGAGGCGUGUCGUGAGCGAGGGUCAGCUCUCGUACAGCCUCUCGUGCCUGCCUUACCUCUGGCGGCUCAUAGGGUCGGCGGCGUGGGUCGGUAGGGUACUCGAAUGGCGCGGUGUCAAUCGCAAUGGGGCCCACCGUCCUUUCCUCAGGCGCCGGGUUGAUGGCGCCACACGUUUGACCAGGGUUGGUGGCGUGUGCAGGGUCACAUUGCGGGCCCUUGAGGGAGAGGAAAGGGGACGGCGCGUAGGAUGGGCGGUUGACCGUCAUCACGGGUACACGUGUAACUUUCACUGGCUUGAUUGCAAUGUUGCGUAGUCCAGUAGUGAGGUAAAUGGUGGGAAUACCAUCUGAGUUAUUGGUGUUGUCGGUGACGGGCGCCGUAUGACACACAGGCAGCGUGGAGACCGGUGCGUGUGCGUCGGGAGGCUCUGGCAAAACAGGAGGGUAGUCCGUGAUGCCGAGAGUAGCGCCGGGGUCAGCUGGCCCGACAGCGGUAGGGGCUGUCAGGUCUGGGGAAUCACGGUCGCCCGCCAAGGGAGAUUCCGGCCUGGCGUGGUUCCCAGGAGGGUCGCCAGUGGACAUGGAUUGGUCUCGUAUGGCGUGGGUACCAGCAGGAGAAGAAGCCAGCAUCAUCAUCUCGUCCACUGUCAUAGCGGCGAUCUCGGGAGCGCGCACAUAGACAAUGGGGAUCAUGCUUCGGGUUUGCCGGUCGUUGUUGUACAGCAGGUGGUUCCUCUGGUAGCAGAUGGUGGCUUGGAUGGGCCACAAGAAGUCGCAUCCCAGAAGAACACCAUAGUUAAGAGCUGUGCUCACCAGCAUAUCCAGGGUAAACGUCAUGUCACCCAGGGAUACGCGCACCUCUUUGAUGCGCCCAGCGGAGGUGGCCUUAGUGCCGCUGGCGGUGAGGAACUCAACUGACUCCUUCUCGAUGUAUUGGGCGAGGCCAAGACGGCGAAGGGUGUUCAGGGUAAUGACAGAACUUGAGGCCCCGCUGUCUAUAACAGCAGCAACACUCAUGUUCUCACCGUUCACAUCAACAAUGUGUACGGUGGCCCGGCAAACCUGGUAGCGGGACCGCUGGGAGGUGUCGGAGGCAUUGACAGCCUGGGCCAUCGUGCCUGCCGGCGUGACCUCACCCAGAUUGACGGCUGGGCCGGUGGGAGCAUUCACCCGGGCGCCCGGAGCGUUGGAAGCCGUGGGUGGUUGGCGUUGGUUGAUCGGUCCAGGGGGUGGCGGACGAGACGCCACAGGACGUUGAGGCGGCGCGGAGGUUGCACGCGGGUGGUGGUGUUGCGGCGGCGGGUGUUGGUUCGGGCGUCCAGACACUCGCUGCAUAGUGUCACCCUCGCUUGCUUGUCCAGCACCAGCAAUGACGACGUUGGCGUUGUCGUAGAUGUUGAAGGUGUCGUGUAGAUUCACUCCAGAGGUGGCGUUGACAGUAGUAGGGGAGGCGGUGGCGGAGCGGCGGCGAUUGGCAUUGGUACGAAUCACCUGAGUGGCCUCGGUGGCCAUGUGGGUGAGCAUGCGAAGCAUGUCACACCGGAGGGCGACGCCGACCGAGACAUUGCUCUUCAGUACCUUGGACAUCAAGUCCGUCGCGAGACGGCGCUCCUCAGAGUGGGUCUCUGGCGGGAUUCCAGUGGGUACGGGAUCGACACGCGUGUCGGCACCACCGGGUCCACGGGCUUGACGGCCAAUGUCUGCACGCUCCCUGGGGCGAGCAGGGGCGUCAGCUGAGCGUGGGGCUCCACGGACGGGGGUGUUGACGCCGGUAGGGGCACCGGAAGGGGUGCCCGCUCGUGGUUGCGGGGUAGCCUCUCCAGAGCGGUUUCCGGACGUGUAGCGACGGUACGGUCGUUGACGCUCGAAAUCCAUGGUGUCAGGAUCCGUCCGGACGGGCACCCGCUUGGUGGGUAGACGGCUGGGCUCAAAGUCACUCACACGCUUGGUGGUGUAAAUGGCCUCAUCGUCGUACAGUGCUGGCGGGGAGACCCGGUAAUCAUCGUAUCCUUCCCCGAAAUACAUUUCUUCCUGGUCACCGGGCCAGUCAUCCCAUUCGUCCGCGUGGUAUGCAUCGGCGUAACACGCGUCCUCAUAGGUAGCCGUAUCAGUGACCGGGUGGAAGUCAUGCAGUGGGUCAGGGUACGUGUCAAGUAGGCAUGCGCGCGAGUACCCCUCGUCCACUGAGUGAUAGCUCCGUGGCGAAAGCAGGGGUGUUUCGCAGUCAUACCCAACAGGACUGUGAGUGCCAUCCAUCAUGUAAGUCUCAUACAUGUUGGCGGCGGCAGAAGGCGAGGCGUUCUGCGUCCCACUGUUGCGCUCAAGGAGCAGCGUGAGGCGAGCCAAUUGGGAGGCGAGUUGAUCGGCAUCAGCAGCGGUUACCGGCUUUGGGUCAGGCCGCGCCCGUGGGGCGGGUCGGUCAUCCCUUCGCGGCUGGAAGUUAUCCUGCCUACGGUACCUUGCGUCGCGGUCAGAUCGAUUCUCCUGGCUGCCAUUGUUAUAGGGAGGCCGGUUCUGGUUGAAUCGGCCUUCCUGUUGGGGAGUCUCAAAUCGAACCUGCUUAUCACGGGCUGGUUCGGGGUUGGGGGGCCGUGGAGCGGCUUGCAUCACUGGGAGCGCAGCGUUCUCGUUGCGUAACACCUCACUGAUGUAAAUGGCCAGCUCAAUAGCGCGGGAUAGAGUGUGUGGCUCGCCCAGGUGGGUUUGCACACGCACCGUGCUGUUGAGUCCACGCAUAAAAUUAUGCAUGUGGGUGACAUCAGCAUCCCCGUUUAUGCCCAAUUCCGACAGCAGGUGCCGGAACCGGUCACAGUAGGAGCGAACAGUCUCAUCGCGCUUCUGACGGCAAUUGGCAAGGCGAGUGUGUAACUCGUCAGUCCUUACGCCAUACCGUUGUAGAAACGCGACACAGAAACUGUCCCACGUACGGGUUUGCUGGCGUACACCAGCUUCCCACGUACGGGCUUCCUGGCCCAGGCGACAGCGGGCAACAUCCAGCUUCGCCGUUUGCGGCCACCCAAACAACCGAGCGUGGCAAUCGAUAGUUUCCAACCAUUGGCGUGCGCUGUCCUCUGGGAAGAACACCGGGACCGCAGCCACGGAGGAGGGACUAACAGAAGGCAUCGCUGGAGGGUGUUGGAAGGCAAACUGCACUAUAAGGACGGGUUUGUGCGUUAUGGCAUGCGUUAGCAUGCGUUAAGCAUGGAAAUUCCGCAUGCGGCAAGCACGAAAAGUGCGUGCGGUACGCAGGAGGAAGCACACCGCUCGCAUGCGUCAAGGACAAGCACUUACGUUAGCUAACGCAUGGUAGUUGCCAGGACUUGCCGCGCCGCUCCCCUCUGGCUGGCACGCAUGCGUAUGCAUCCUUAGCAUACGCACGAUUAAGCACAAAUAAAGCAAAAAUGCCGGUUGCUUAGAGCUCUACGCAUGGUCUCACGCAUGCGGCACGCCUGUGCUUUACCUAAAGCAAGCUGCCACCCGGCGCUGUGUGCGUCCCGCCCGAUACUGUGCGCGUCCCGCACGGCACAUAAAAUGGGGCACAUGAGGCACCUGAAGCUCUCUUGAUGUGUUACAGUUCAUGCAUCUGCGCUCCGACACGUGCCCCUCGUACUGGUGUCGUGGUGUGCCAAAAUGGUGCAAGUCCGCACGGCUCUCCCGCUCCGUCCCCACACGACCCGCAACCCACCACGUGCUGCACGCACACACUCUGCAAGGUCUGCCAUUGCUACAAAACACUAAACGUACAGACCAGGCAUACUCAGGGUCUCGAGGCAAGUGUGAAGGCAACCGAUACGGAUCCCCUGCCAGCACUACACCCAGCCACCCGCCGAUCACACCAUAACACCAUGCGCGCACAGCGCCGCCUGCCAAUUCCGCUGCCGCCACCUGAAGUCUGCCGCUUGCCGCUAGCCACCUCCGUGCUUUAGCUCGGCCUGCAUGGUGUUUGGAGUAAGUUGGUCAGUGAAUGGUGGCACGGUGUCAUGCUAGCUCUAGGUACACGCAGGGCCUAGACCGCAUUCGGUCCCCUAGAACUAACUUCCCAUGUACGUCAUUCAAAUCCAAUCAUUCAUCCUAUUAUGAGUUGUGUAGCAAUUUCCGAUCAAACUUGCCUGGUGAGGGUUAGAAGGGCCACGCAUUUACGCGCGCUGCGCCCCGAGUCGAAUUCCAGUGCCGGACCUGAGGGGACAAGGGGAGGGGGAGGGGGGGAGCUUCACAUUCUGCAGUUCUGCCUAUGCUCUUACAACUUCGUCCAUACUGCGCAUGGAUGCUAGCUCGCUUGACCCCCUGAAUUUGUUGUCGCUUGUCGACCCCCUGAAUUGGCUGUCGCUAUGUACCUGCCUCACCUGGCACUGUUGAUUCCAGACUCUCUGAUGCUUGAUUUACAUCCUGUAACAGCAGCGUCAAGACCUGGCUUAGUUGUAGACCCGGUCAACGAGGGUCCGACACCCCCUGCGACAGCGCAGCCUAGCCCCAGCACCAGCAGCUCAUCACAUACCUUCCAAAGAUUGAUGCCAGGGCUUAGCAGGACUUGAAGACUCGCCCAGUAGACUUGAGCGCCAACUUUGAAAGCAAGUCCAUUGCCGACUGGCAGAGGACCACGAAGCCUCUACAUGGCACUGAACGAUAAGUAUGUAGCUACAUGUGACAAAGACAGGUUGCUUGAAGAGUGAAGAACUGAACUCGAAAUACAUGAGCCCCAUGCAGCCCCAUGCAACAAGGAACGCGCUCCAUGCUGGGUCUUGAUUUGCUGUGCAUGCUCCGGUCAGACCUUAAAUCAAUCUGCAGCAGGCCGGUGCGUCAGUCUUCAGCGCCGGUCCGGGCACGGGUCUCGCCUCGGCCUGCGCCUCCGCGGCUUGUGCUUAGGGAACCACCUGGAGCUGGGUACCGGCUUUCUCGGCUUCGCAUGGUUCGUCUUUAAAGCUUUCUCAGUAACGGGGAAAGCCUCACAUGCACACGCACCUCCGCUCAUGCCCACCGCCGCAUGAAGGAAGGCCGGGGGAGGCCUGGUGCGCCGGGCAGGAUACGGGGUAAGGCUCACAUGCACACGCACCCUCCUGUGGCGUUGCGGUCUGUCUGUGUGGUGCUAUCGCCUGGCCGGGCGCCCGGAGCGUGAGGAAUGCGCAUCAGCAGACUUCCAGCCAGCCAGGAACUUGUCGGUACAGUAACGCCGGCGUUCGACCAGCCAUGCACUUCUGCUCUGCCACUGCAAACUGUUUGCUGUCUGCUUACGGGUCUGGGCAUCGGCUGCACCCUACGGGACCUCGCCAACCUGCCUUGAACCCUGUCCCAUCACACGCACACGCACCCUCCGCUCACGCCCACCGCCGCAUGAAGACACGCCGGGGAAACGCCUGGUGCGCCGGGCUGGAUACGGUGUAGAGCUCCCAUGCACACGCACCCUCCGCUCACGCCCACCGCCGCAUGAAGACACGCCGGGGGAACGCCUGGUGCACCGGGCUGGAUACGGGGUAAGGCUCACAUGCACACGCACCUCCGCUCACGCCCACCGCCGCAUGAAGACACGCCGGGGGAACGCCUGGUGCGCCGGGCUGGAUACGGGGUAAGGCUCACAUGCACACGCACCUCCGCUCAUGCCCACCGCCGCAUGAAGACACGCCGGGGGAACGCCUGGUGCGCCGGGCUGGAUACGGUGUAGAGCUCCCAUGCACACGCACCUCCGCUCACGCCCACCGCCGCAUGAAGACACGCCGGGGGAACGCCUGGUGCGCCGGGCUGGAUACGGUGUAGAGCUCCCAUGCACACGCACCUCCGCUCACGCCCACCGCCGCAUGAAGACACGCCGGGGGAACGCCUGGUGCGCCGGGCUGGAUACGAUAUAGAGCUCCCAUGCACACGCACCCUCCGCUCAUGCUCACCGCCGCAUGAAGACACGCCGGGGGAACGCCUGGUGCGCCGGGCUGGAUACGGUAUAAGGCUCCCAUGCACAUGCACCUCCGCUCACGUCCACCGCCGCAUGAAGACACGCCGGGGGAACGCCUGGUGCGCCGGCCGGGCUGGAUACGGUGUAAGGCUCACAUGCACACGGGCACCGUGGUUCUGCCCGACACUGUCAAUAAAGGUGCUGACAAGCACCAGUUUGGUUUCGCUCCAUCGCGGCUGCUUGGCACAAUCACCGCCACGCGCCGCGGCAACCCCGGCCGCUGCCGUUUGCCCCGCCCAUGCCUCCCGCUCCCGUGCAGAUCCCGGGCUGAUAGCAGCGCGCAGCAGCGGCAGUCGCCAGCCUUCCUCCCCACCAGCGGCCGGGCAACCGGUGACUGCUGGCCAUGGGCAGCCGCGGCAGCCACAGCCUCUGCCGCGGCUGCUUGGAACAGUCACCGCCACGCGCUGCAGCAACCCCGGCCGCUCCCCCCGUUUACCCUGCUCAUGCCUCCCGCUCCCGUGCAGAUCCCGGACUGAUAGCAGCGCGCAGCAGCGGCAGUCGCCAGCCUUCUUCCCCACCAGCGGCCGCGCAACCGGUGACUGCUGGCCAUGGGCAGCCGCGGCAGCCACAGCCUCUGCCGCGGCUGCUUGGAACAGUCACCGCCACGCGCCGCAGCAACCCCGGCCGCUCCCCCCGUUUACCCUGCUCAUGCCUCCCGCUCCCGUGCAGAUCCCGGACUGAUAGCAGCGCGCAGCAGCGGCAGUCGCCAGCCUUCUUCCCCACCAGCGGCCGCGCAACCGGUGACUGCUGGCCAUGGGCAGCCGCGGCAGCCACAGCCUCUGCCGCGGCUGCUUGGAACAGUCACCGCCACGCGCCGCAGCAACCCCAGCCGCUCCCCCCGUUUACCCUGCUCAUGCCUCCCGCUCCCGUGCAGAUCCCGGACUGAUAGCAGCGCGCAGCAGCGGCAGUCGCCAGCCUUCUUCCCCACCAGCGGCCGCGCAACCGGUGACUGCUGGCCAUGGGCAGCCGCGGCAGCCACAGCCUCUGCCGCGGCUGCUUGGAACAGUCACCGCCACGCGCCGCAGCAACCCCGGCCGCUCCCCCCGUUUACCCUGGCCAUGACUCCUGCUCCCGUGUAGAUCCCGGGCUGAUAGCAGCGCGCAGCAGCGGCAGUCGCCCGCCAUCUUCCCCACCAGCGGCCGCGCAACCGGUGACUGCUGGCCAUGGGCAGCCGCGGCAGCCACAGCCUCUGCCGCGGCUGCUUGGAACAGUCACCGCCACGCGCCGCAGCAACCCCGGCCGCUCCCCCCGUUUACCCUGCUCAUGCCUCCCGCUCCCGUGCAGAUCCCGGACUGAUAGCAGCGCGCAGCAGCGGCAGUCGCCAGCCUUCUUCCCCACCAGCGGCCGCGCAACCGGUGACUGCUGGCCAUGGGCAGCCGCGGCAGCCACAGCCUCUGCCGCGGCUGCUUGGAACAGUCACCGCCACGCGCUGCAGCAACCCCGGCCGCUCCCCCCGUUUACCCUGCUCAUGCCUCCCGCUCCCGUGCAGAUCCCGGACUGAUAGCAGCGCGCAGCAGCGGCAGUCGCCAGCCUUCUUCCCCACCAGCGGCCGCGCAACCGGUGACUGCUGGCCAUGGGCAGCCGCGGCAGCCACAGCCUCUGCCGCGGCUGCUUGGAACAGUCACCGCCACGCGCUGCAGCAACCCCGGCCGCUCCCCCCGUUUACCCUGCUCAUGCCUCCCGCUCCCGUGCAGAUCCCGGACUGAUAGCAGCGCGCAGCAGCGGCAGUCGCCAGCCUUCUUCCCCACCAGCGGCCGCGCAACCGGUGACUGCUGGCCAUGGGCAGCCGCGGCAGCCACAGCCUCUGCCGCGGCUGCUUGGAACAGUCACCGCCACGCGCCGCAGCAACCCCGGCCGCUCCCCCCGUUUACCCUGCUCAUGCCUCCCGCUCCCGUGCAGAUCCCGGACUGAUAGCAGCGCGCAGCAGCGGCAGUCGCCAGCCUUCUUCCCCACCAGCGGCCGCGCAACCGGUGACUGCUGGCCAUGGGCAGCCGCGGCAGCCACAGCCUCUGCCGCGGCUGCUUGGAACAGUCACCGCCACGCGCCGCAGCAACCCCAGCCGCUCCCCCCGUUUACCCUGCUCAUGCCUCCCGCUCCCGUGCAGAUCCCGGACUGAUAGCAGCGCGCAGCAGCGGCAGUCGCCAGCCUUCUUCCCCACCAGCGGCCGCGCAACCGGUGACUGCUGGCCAUGGGCAGCCGCGGCAGCCACAGCCUCUGCCGCGGCUGCUUGGAACAGUCACCGCCACGCGCCGCAGCAACCCCGGCCGCUCCCCCCGUUUACCCUGGCCAUGACUCCUGCUCCCGUGUAGAUCCCGGGCUGAUAGCAGCGCGCAGCAGCGGCAGUCGCCCGCCAUCUUCCCCACCAGCGGCCGCGCAACCGGUGACUGCUGGCCAUGGGCAGCCGCGGCAGCCACAGCCUCUGCCGCGGCUGCUUGGAACAGUCACCGCCACGCGCCGCAGCAACCCCGGCCGCUCCCCCCGUUUACCCUGCUCAUGCCUCCCGCUCCCGUGCAGAUCCCGGACUGAUAGCAGCGCGCAGCAGCGGCAGUCGCCAGCCUUCUUCCCCACCAGCGGCCGCGCAACCGGUGACUGCUGGCCAUGGGCAGCCGCGGCAGCCACAGCUGCUGCCGCGGCUGCUUGGCGCAGUCACCACCACGCGCCGCCGGCGCUCCCCCCGUUUACCCUGCUCAUGCCUCCCGCUCCCGUGCGGAUCCCGGACUGAUAGCAGCGCGCAGCAGCGGCAGUCGCCAGCCUUCUUCCCCACCAGCGGCCGCGCAACCGGUGACUGCUGGCCAUGGGCAGCCACGGCAGCCACAGCUGCUGCCGCGGCUGCUUGGCGCAGUCACCACCACGCACCGCCGGCGCUCCCCCGUUUACCGCGACUACUAGUUAGUACCUAGGUUUAACUCUUCGUAAAUACAUACAACAUAGAGCCUGGCACUCGUUCCUUUGCCUUUGUUUAACAAGGCCCAUCCCUAACGCCUUGCUCAUGGCAAUUGCGUUAUACGUGCUAAUAUGCUGUUUGUUAACGCAGCAAAUGUAGAAGCAAUAGUUUGCACGUUGCAGUGCAGUUGGGCAAUCGCGAGGUUUGGCAAAGUCAUCAUUCGCUAUGUGUCUACACUCUGUGAGUUGAGCAAGUACUUGAGGUGAAGGCUUUGACGGGGCUUGCGUCGGGGGCUUGCGUAUUCGUGGGGCGCAUGCGUCUGCAUGCGUUCCGCAUGCGUGUUUCGCACGCACAACCGAGAGGUUUGCCGCCCUCCCCGCCCCUCAUGCUUCUUGCGUUCCGUGGACGCAUGCGUCCCACCCCCAACGCAUGCUUUACGCACAAAAAGCAGGUGUAACGCACAAACCCGUCCUUAUAGUGCUGAUGUUGCGGUGCGUCGCCACCGUUCAUCCCGGGAUUGGGAGACGGCGGUGAGGAGGGUGGCGAAUCGAUGGUGAAGUUGGAGAGGGGGCGUCCGUACCUGCGAUAAGCAGGGAAAACCCGAGGGUGUCAGUAGCGAUUCAAGGAUAGAAGUAAAUGGGCACUCCGCGUAGGGGGACGCGUGAGGCAGAUCAGAAGCUGACGCGUAGAAUCUGAACCAAAAGACGGGUCCGACGGACAGGUCAAGCAACAGGUUCAGGCAGGGUACGACGGGCUGACCGCACCAAUGCAGGCUGGUAGAACCCAAACCCCAGUAGUGGCAAACAAAGCAGGCGAAGCAAGCAGGUAAUGCGCUCUGGAGACGGGCUGCGGGGAAAGCUGGCCCCCGUGGAGAGUGCCCUGCGACUUGCGCAGCGGGCUAGGUGUCAAACACGCGACAGCAACUAUACACAAAACACGUUUCCCGUAACUCCCCCCACAAAAGGCGCACGCCCAGGAAACCCUGGAAAGUACAAAACUUUUUCGCGCCCACGGGUUGUGUAAUGCGUUGUAGUGCACGGGCUCACGUAUGAAGACGCGAUGAACCGCUUGUCGGUCGUGCCACCACUAAUAACCGCAGGACUGGGGAGAUGCCGGUCACAAGCACACGAACACACGCGCACGGUACGGUACGUACACAGGCACACACACGCGGCCCUUGGACGAAGGUCUUGGCUUCGGGACGGCGGCGGUGUAGAUGCAGCGAACCUUGAAUGGGUUGACGGGAGAUAUGUAUGUACGGGAGUCUCAGGAGUCUCAGGGGUGAAGCAGCAGCCGGGACUCACACACACGCUCACGCACACAGGCAGCAGCAGGGGUCACGGAGCUCUGGGCUCUGGAUGGUCUGCGGCGCUGCCUGGAGGCGGGUGGUGCUAGGCUGACGAAGGAGGCGAAGGGAGAAGGCAGAGAAAGGAGUAGGAGGCGAGGGCAGGGGAUCCCGGGAGUGCAAGGCAGGGACCAGGGCCGGAGCCGGUGGGCGCAAGGCACAACACCAAGCUACUGCGACACAGGGAUCCUAAGCACAGGCACGCGGGAGAUAGGAGUCUCAAAUGCAGGAGGGCUCGAGGCGACCUGCAGGCCCUGCAACACGGAGCGUGAAGCAGGCAAGGGAGCCGGGUGGUGGCUCGCAAAGAAGGGGGAGAAGUAGCACUGGCGCGGCGCAGACGGCAGGCGGUGCUUUGGAGACAGGCGCGGGCAGCUGUAGUCGCUGACGGGGCGCGGAGAAGUAGUCGACGGCUCCUUGAGGACGACGACGAGGGAAACGCAGGGAAACCUGUGAGGGGCCUGUGGCUGGAGAUAGCUGCACAGGACACACCAGCACGAUACAGCGCCGGCCCUUCGGGCCGGCGGAGAGACCGGAGGGGGAGCGCCCGCUCGCGGCGAGAGUCAGAGACAGGGCCGUCAGGCCGAAGGGGAAACAGACAAGCUUGAUUGCUUGUUACAGGAAACUUGGAGAGCUUUAAUUGUUGGUUGAUUGACUCGCACGCUUUGUACUUGUUUGUGUACUUUUUGGUGGAGUGAAGAAACAACUCCGCGCGUGCCCAUUUAAUGACUCGCGCGUCGUGGCCUCUUCCCGUACCAAACUCCAGCUACUUCAGCCACCUGCAGGCCACAGGUCGGCAGGCAAAGACGCUGCUACGCAAUUGCAAAUGUUCAUUCUGUCCAACAGGCCAACUUCAGCGCAUAUUGUACAGGGUAAACAACCAAACCAAAUAAUCAAACCGGAGUCACAAGACACUACACGUCACUACAAGUUCAGUUAGGCAGGUCACCGAAGCCGUGCUUCGAACUAGCAACAAGAAUCCCUUUGCUUGUACACUGUCAACAAAAGAAUAUCCUUUAUCAAACUCAAGCUUCAGGCCUGCUCUCACGUGGUUGAUGAAGUGUCGCGCAACCAUAAGUCAACCGGCCAAUCGUGUGUGUGCCGUGCCAGCCCGACACGUCCCACACACUCACUUAUGCACUGUUCAUACAAUCCCACGGCUCAUAACCUACACGGAAACUCGAUGCAGCAGACAAUAUAGUACAACGCCACCACGGAACGCUCCUCAGCUGGUCUGGGGCGGUUUAGGCUGCGCUCCUCACGGUCUGGGGCACAGCUCCCAUAGGCGAAUUAGGCCUGUGGUAACCGGGUGGUAGGGAGACACAAAACACACAUUUAAACUAUGCAGCAAAGUGUGGCGUGGUGAGAAAUUCUGGCUGCCAUGUAUUCAACCCACAUCCGAAAUGGGGCUGGGUGCGUCCGAAUCAACAGCUGGGCAUGUCCGAAAUGGGGCUGGGCGCGUCCGAAUUGCCAUUCGGAUGGCCGGUCUGGUCCGAACAUUGCGUCCGAAUCUUGGCAUCCGACAAAAGUGUCCGAAAUACUUGUAAUUCGGAUGCUAUUCGGACCGACUUCGGACCAGCUUCGGAGACAAAAACUUCGGACAGGGGUGGGGUCUUUCGGACAGGAACUCGGACCAGCUUCGGAUGGUCUUUCGGACCAGGCUUCGGAUCAGGUUUCGGACAGAUCUUCGGACCAACUUCGGACCAGAUUCGGAUGAGCGGCUUUCCCCGAGUGGCAGGUGUUGUCUCGAGUGGCCCGGGCGCAGGUGCGGUGGGCGGCGCGUGUGCAGGUAGGAUGCCGGCGGGUUGGGCCGCUGUUGCUGUGUCUGCGUCUGUCGUGCCGGCCCCGUCUGGGUGGGGCUGUGUCGCGCGUGGGCGAGCCUGCAGUGGGUGCUUGUAGCAGCGCACGUCUGUGACCGUGGCGUAGCCCAUGCGUGAGAAGGCGGUGACUAGGCCGGGUGGGAUGACAGAUGGCUUCCAUUGGACCGCGAAGUAUGGCUCGCGGGUGUUGGUUGUGUCCUCGCCCGCUUUGCGUUUGCGUGCAAUUUCCUCAUCUGUGACAGUUUGUUGGUUUGUGCGGUACAGGAUGGCCGCCAGCUCCUGGCCAUCAUUAUCCAGGUCGUAGGUAAGCUGCGCAUCCCCGUUGGUGCAGUCAUCGGUGGGAGGGUGGACCAGGUCCUUGACUACACGUUCCCGGGCUAGUUUCCAAAGUGUUUGCUUGCCCCGCCGGCGAGACAGCCUGAGUGGUGAGGCUUGCUGCCUAUCGUCCGCUUCCAUCAGGUCGUGCUGACUAUCGUCCACUUCCAUUUGGUCGUGCUCAGGUGCUGCGGCGUCGACGUCCAUUGGGUCCUCAGCGGCGGCCGCGGCUGGCUGCCCUUGGUGGAAAAGGUAGGUUUGCACGGCGCCAGUAGACGGCAUGGUUGCAUUCGCAGUGAGCAGAGUGGUUAUUGCGGGGGCCAUGGGCCGUUGCGUGCGGGUAACCGGGUUUCGGUUAUUGAAUGAAGGGGGGUCCCUUGGGUGGGGCUUGCAGAGGUGGUUGUGCCUGCUCAUGUCUUUUGCCAGGGCCGUGAACACUGAACGUGCCGUUUCGUACCCUCGUGUGCCAACUGCCAGGCUUUCGUCUCCAUUUGUGAGGCGCAUAGCCGUGCUGAUUGCGGCUUUAUCACUGGUGAGCAGGUCGUCGGGUGUUGUGCGCGUGUUUUCUGCAAUGUGGGCCUUUUGGGCGGCGUGUUUCGUGACGCGGCGGGAGUGGGCAGUUGGGUUUGUGGGAGUGCGCAUGACGGGCGUCUUCCGUGGCCGUGUCCGCAGGUUGGCUUCGGGUUGGGCGACGGGAGCUGCGGUAUCCGCGGCUGGGGCAGGAGUUGGGGCCAUCUGCCCCAAGGCAGUUGGCGUGUAUUGCAAGGGCGGGUUGUGAUAGAGUGGGCUGGCUUCUUCAAUGUCCAUUUGGGUUGUUGUGUUUGGGGCUGGGGUGAAGGGCUGUGGGGCGGGGCCUCCCGUCAUGAGUGCGGUGAGGGGUGGUGCCAUGCCCGGGGGUCGAGGGUCGUUCCGUGCGGAGAGGGCCUGGAGUUCUUCCAGGGGUGGGAUCACACGCUGGGUAGGCGGAAGCGGGUUCGGGCUCCCGUGUUUUUCCGGUGGCAUUUGGUCUCCGUCCAAUCCCGCCGUGGCAACCAGGGCCAGACUCAGCCUGUUGAGUGCAACCUUGUGUUUGUGGCGGACCCUGCUUGCCCCCAGGAGUUUCUCGAGCUCCCGGGUGCUAAUCAGAUGGCGGCUCAUAUUGCGGUCGACCAAGUGGCUGAAUUCGAGCUGGAGUUCCGCUAGCGGGAGCACGUGUUCGUUCGACAGGGAGGGGUGCUGCCGCACGCGCUGCAGCUGCGGCGUCCAGGGCCUCGACAAUUGACCAGGUAGGGGUGGUAUACGGUGUGCCCUUGUAGAAGAGCUGUAUACCAUGCUCACGAGCGAGGGUCAUCUGUUGCAGAGUUGUGAAGAAGCGCCCUCUGUCUGCAGGUAGGUGGUGUGCGAGGCUCGCACCCGCCAGGCUAUGCUGCCGUGGCAGGAGGGCACGGGUAACCACGCCCAGUCGGCCUGUGUCGUUUAGAGCAAGGACAAGCGCGCGGUUGGCCACACGCGCGUACUUGGGUAAGAGUGAGCCCAGUCCUAGGCCAUAUUCAUCGAUUGGGAGAAGGGUGGUACGGGUAGGGAAGCUGCGUGGCAGCCCAUAGCACCGUUUUGCGUAUCCGGCCAGUGUAGCGUCAAAGUUUGCGAUGUCCUGUUUCGUGUAUGGCAUCGCAGCAAAUGCAUAGGCGAUUGAGGUGUGGACGCAUUGCUGCAGCAUGCGUAGGCGUUGUGCCGGCGUGGCCAGUGACGUGGCUAUGGCCGUGCCCUUUUCUUUCACAGUUUCAGUGACGUGGGAGACUUGCGCCUUCCAGUCUAGUGAGAAGGUGAGUUGCACCCCCAGGUAUUUGUAGGGUUUUGUGGGCGGGUAGUACGGUACAGUGGUGUUACCAAUUCGUAGCUUGUUAGUCAGUUCACGGUGCAUCGCGUUCAGCGUGGCUUGGCCGGUGGGUCCGUCAAGGGUCGGGGUGGACCGGGACUUGUUGUGCCAGAUGGCGGUAGUUGCGCACUUGGUGUGAUUGACUCGCAGGCUUGCCCAGUCUGCAUAGUCCGAGAUUUUGUCACAUUGGAUCUGCAGGUCUUCCAGCGUUGUGGUCAGGGCCGCCAAGUCGUCAGCGUACGCGGCGGCGCUGCAGUGGUACCGUGCAUUGUCUUCCGGGCUGAGGCAUCCGUAGCGGUAGCCCCGCCCACCUGCGUGGAGCCACCGCACAAGCGGUUCCAUGAACAAGAUGAACAGUACAGGUGACAGGGUGUCACCUUGCACCGUGCCACGUUCUAUUGGGAUGGCGGAUGUGCAUCCAUGUUCAGUACGAAUGCGGGUGGUGGCGUGCGCGUAUAGGUUGCGGACUGCGCGUAUCAGGUCGUCAGGCAGGCCCAGAUCGAACAUAAUCUGGAGUAGCCUGUCCUGAUCGAUUGUGUUAAACGCAGAGCUGUAGUCAACAUACACUGCGUAUACGUCUUUCCCAUACAGGGCAGCGUCCUCCAGUACAUGCACAAGGUUCAGUAUCUGCCGUUCCGUGUUGCAGUAGGCCUGGAAGCCCUCCUGUGAUUCGCUGAACAGCUGGAGUGGGCCUGCCAGUUCGCCGAUGCCCAGGGUGAGCAUAGAAGUGUACAGUUUAUAGCAAGUGUUGGCUAGAGCGAUGGGCCUCUUGUUCUUGAUGUCAAGAGCGUCCCCAGGUUUUGGGAGCAGGACCGUGUCCGAAGUGGCCCAGGACUCCGGGAUUGUGGACUUGACGUACAUGAUCUUCAGUGUGUUGUGUAGGGCUCGCUUCAUGCCAUGAGGCAAGAUGCGGAGCAGCUCGUUCGGAAUGCCGUCUGGGCCCGUGGCUUUGUUACGAGAGAGGUGGGCGAUACAGUGGUCAAAGUUGGCGGGGUCUGCCAUGCUAGAAAGCAUGGAGUGUGCUUCCGGGUGCUUGUUACGCUCAAGCGUAAAGGCAUCCGUAGCGUUAGGUAGUUCGAACGGGUACCCACGCAUUGCGCCAGGCGACAGGCGAUAUUCACCUGUGCGGGGCCCUCGUGGGGGGGCUGACAGUUUGCGGAAGUGGCCUUCCAGGGCGGUUAGAAUGCUGGGGGGGUCGGUUACCACCUCGCCUGUUUCAGGGUUGCGGACCGCGGGGAGGCCACGUUCGGUUGCUUCUUUCUGAAAGAUACGUAUGUGGUAUGUUUUUUUUUUUAGGAAUCAUCCUUACAAGGUUGAACAGGGGCAGACGCGCUGCCCCCCUGCUGCCUGAAAGCAGCCUGUUCCCCGAGACCAGAACCCUGACAGGGCAAGAAGAGAAGAAAAGAGAAGAAAACAGAAAGCAAACACCUCGAGACCGCCACCAACCACCCCCAUCCAUCCCACCCACCCCACCCCGACCCGGCAGACAGAGCAGGAGGCUGGCCCCCCCGCCCCCCGGGAGGGGUUGCACAAAAACACCGCCAGACCUAACCCAAGCACCAAACUAUACCACAGCCUAAUUGCAAGAACCACCACCACCGCGCGCCAGAAAAGAAAACACCAGCGCUACGCACUCGCCCCGCCCAAACCCACCCCACCCCCACAAGUCGGUUGCUUAAGCAACACCCCAGGAGAACCGGCAGAGGAGACACAAGCAGAAAACUAAACGGGCCAGAUGUGGAGCUGACUAAGCGGGCUCCAGCCCGCUGCAAGACGCGCUGUGCGGGAAGUCCCACAGCCGCCCAGGCGCUGCGACGCCAGCCAGAGCUAAAACACAUGGGCGCCAGAUAAGCCGAUGACGAUGAAAUGCCACGCCAGCGCCUGGAACGAACCGCCGCCCAAAAGGAAACCUAGGGGGCCUGCACAGGUGAUGCAAGCGUCAGCCACAAGUUCAACUUCGGUGACCCACCCUGAACCUCCUCCACUUCACAAAGCGCGCCACCCGCCGACCAGAUGGCAACAAAGUGCUCCAGCUUAGCCGCCUUGAGCUGUGCGGUGAGAAGCUGAGUGGGCAGAGCCGACAGGGUUUCAGGGGUUAGCGUGGCGGCAGUGAAACGCAGCUGCAUCACCCUGCGCAGCUCGCUGACCACCUCCCGAACCACAUGCUCCGACGUCUGCUUAGCAGAUGCAGCCACUGACGUCCUUUCUGCGGCGGCAGGUGGAGCAAGGGGCACUGCGCACGCCCCUGUUACCCAGCGGCGAGCAGGCGCCACCUGCUGCCCACCACGCUGACGACACGACCCUCACGGCGCGCGACCCGGCGGUGGACGGGCCGGUCCUGAUGGUGGCAGUACUGCUGUUCUGCCGCGCGUCCAACGCCCGUGUCCAUUCGGACAAGAGCAAGGCCAUGGGCCUUGGCAGGUUUGCGCACCUGACGGGCCCUUGCCCACACACGGGGGUGCCGUUUACCACUGGCGCCGUGACGCACCUGGGUGUGCCCCUGUCGUGGGACUCUGAUGCGGCUGCAGCUGACUUGUACACCCGGCGGUCUCGCGGCAUGGCGUUUGUGGCGCGUCUGUGGGCUGCCCUGUCUCUGACUCUUGUUGGCCGUGUGCACAUUGCGAAGCAGGUGCUGGCGGCGAAGCUGGCCUACCACUUCAGCUUCCUCAACCCGUCGCCUGCGCAGCUGAAGGAACUCACCGACCUAGUGGACCACUUUGCUGCGCGCUCCAUGCACGCUGAGGACGCCAGCCUGGUGUCGCACGGGAACCCGCUCCUGCUGCCAAAGCGGGAGACGGCCUGUCUGCCGUACAAGGAUGGGGGUGUCAACCACGUCGACCUGCCUGCGUUCCUGUCUGCCCUGCAAGCUAAGAUUUUCGCCCUCCUUGCCCAGCCAGGCCGGCAACCCUGGAAGAUGCUCACCCGGGCGCUGCUUACCCAUGUGCGCCCGGACUCCGCCACCACGUGGGCGUGGGUGUACAGCGACGCGCCGGCGCCAGCGGGGCUGCCUGCCCGGCUUUUUUUUUUUGAGGAAUCAUCCUUACAAGGUUGAACAGGCUGGCGGCCGCGGUCGGCCACGUGCGGAGCGCGGGUGUGGAACAGCAUCCGCCGCAGCCAGCCUUACCUGCCUUGCGGGCUGUACAGGGCGGGCAAGGGCAUUCGGCCACGGGUGACCACGGGGUGCGGGGGGUUGGGGGCGCACUGUCCUCACCCCGCCUGCGGGCCACCUGGCCCGCGGGCGUGGGCCAGCCUGACGCACAUCUUCCUGGAGUGUCCAGCUUAUGCGCAGGCGAGGACGUGGCUGCAGCAGCUGUGGGCCUGCGUUGCGCCCCAGGCAGCGGCGCCGCCAGUGACGGACGCGGGCUUCAUGCUGGGGGACCGCAUGGGUAUGUGGGCCUCAGGCCCGCGGGGGGCGGGCGCGCUGCUGUGGAGCACUUUGCGGGCCACCUUCUUGUACGCCGUUUGGUUUUUUUUUUGAGGAAUCAUCCUUACAAGGUUGAACAGGGGCAGACGCGCUGCCCCCCUGCUGCCUGAAAGCAGCCUGGUCCCCGAGACCAGAACCCUGACAGGGCAAGAAGAGAAGAAAAGAGAAGAAAACAAAAAGCAAACACCUCGAAACCGCCACCAACCACCCCCAUCCAUCCCACCCCACCCCACCCCGACCCGGCAGACAGAGCAGGAGGCUGGCCCCCCCGCCCCCCGGGAGGGGUUGCACAAAAACACCGCCAGACCUAACCCAAGCACCAACCUACACCACAGCCUAACCGCAAGAACCACCACCACCGUGCGCCAGAAAGGAAAACACCAGUGCUACCAACACUCGACCCGGCGUAACCCACCCCACCCCCACAAGUCGGUUGCUUGAGCAACACCCCAGGAGAACUGGCAGAGGAGACACAAGCAGAAAACUAAACGGGCCAGAUGUGGCGCUGACUAAUCGGGCUCCAGCCCGCUGCAAGACGCGCUGUGCAGGAAGGCCCACAGCCGCCCAGGCGCUGCGACGCCAGCCAGAGCUAAAACACAUGGGCGCCAGAUAAGCUGAUGACGAUAAUACGCCACGCCAGCGCCAGGACAGAAACGCCGCCCAAAAGGAAACCUAGGGGGCCUGCACAGGUGAUGCAAGCGUCAGCCGCAAGUUCAACUUCGGUGACCCACCCUGAACCUCCUCCACUUCACAAAGCGCGCCACCCGCCGUCCAGAUGGCAACAAAGUGCUCCAGCUUAGCCGCCUUGAGCUGUGCGGUGAGAAGCUGUGUGGGCAGAGCCGACAGGGUUUCAGGGGUUAGCGUGGCGGCAGUGAAACGCAGCUGCAUCACCCUGCGCAGCUCGCUGACCACCUCCCGAACCACAUGCUCCGACGUCUGCUUAGUAGGCUCGCGGGACCAGUACGCACACCAGACGGCGUACAAGAAGGUGGCCCGCAAAGUGCUCCACAGCAGCGCGCCCGCCCCCCGCGGGCCUGAGGCCCACAUACCCAUGCGGUCCCCCAGCAUGAAGCCCGCGUCCGACACUGGCGGCGCCGCUGCCUGGGGCGCAACGCAGGCCCACAGCUGCUGCAGCCACGUCCUCGCCUGCGCAUAAGCUGGACACUCCAGGAAGAUGUGCGUCAGGCUGGCCCACGCCCGCGGGCCAGGUGGCCCGCAGGCGGGGUGAGGACAGUGCGCCCCCAACCUCCCGCACCCGGUGGUCACCCGUGGACGAAUUCCCUUGCCCGCCCGGUACAGCCCGCAAGGCAGGUAAGCAUGUUGCAGCCGGUACACCAGCACCUUUGCCCCCCGACUGGCGUGGCUGUCCCACAGCCUCCGCCACGUACCCCGCAGAAGGGACGCAUCCGGGGGCGGCAUGCGAGGGUCGCCCUCCACCGCCGCCGCUGCUGCCGCCGCCGCCGUGGCAGGCCCAGUGCUAGGUCCCGCCCCUCCCGCCGCCUGCUCCUGCAGCCGCGCGGACCGCCGCGGCCCCUCACCCGACUGCUGGGACGGGGACGCAUACGACUGCAGUUCUCUCGCCGGCGUGUUCUGCAGCCCGGCUGCCGCGGAGGUGCGGUGGAGCCAGGGGUCCAGAGCUACCGGGUUAUUGUGGAAAUGCUGCGCCGCCGUGGUGGUCAGCUGCGCCGCUGCACGCUGCCACUCCGCCUCCCGCUCCGCCAGCCGCGACUGUGCCGCCGGCUGGGUCCCCGAAUCCCCCGACUGCUGUGUUGGCGCCGGGCACGGCAUGGCUGCGGGGCGGGCCGGAGCCGGAGGUGCGGCCGGGUUGGCCGCGGUGAUGGCCCGCCGCACGUCCCGCACCUUGUAGUCCGCUAAGCUGACACCCGCAAUCCGGCAGUGCUCCGGGUGCACCACCACCCCAGCCUCCGGCGCCAGGAAGUAUGGCGCCCGAGGCCACACCCCCGCCCGGUCCCCUGGUGAUGCUGCAUCGUACACCGCCCGCUCUUCAAAGGUCCACAGGUGCCGCGGCUUGCGAUGCUGCAGCACACAGGCAGGCUGCCACGCCCCAUCCACCGCCGGGGGCAGCACGCCAGGCCCAGGCUCCAAGAGCCGCCCCGUGUAAUGGACGUAGGACACAGCCCCCGCAGCGUUAGCCACCCACAGCUGGUCCCAUAUGGGACCACGGGGCCCCAUACAAAGGGCCACCCAACACACUGCUAACCGCAAUCAGCCGCAGCUCACACCCUAUCUCACACCACUUGGUCCUUACCUUGACACAAGCCGGCCUCGAUUUGCGAAACCUUGUAGGUAAAGAGCGUACACCCGAGGGGCGCGCAUGCCUCAUUCCUUCUGAUAUCCUCUUCCAACACCUGCCACGCAACCAAUGCCAGCAUAAGCACCGAGUGGCCCUAAACCGCCUUAGCCUAUGCCUGAGCGCGGAAUGCGAUGGUGCCCGUGAGGCACCUUUCAACCAGGCUGAAAACUACAAAUGUCACUUACCCCUUCCGCAGCGAUACAGAGCCCUCCCCAACACGCCAGCCUUUGCCGCCCUCCUACCCCGCAAUGCCACCCCGGGCGAGCUAACAACCCAAUCUACGAUGGACGCCCACCUCCAACACAUGACUGCAUUACACCCCAAUACCGAGGCUCAACCACCCCAACACCCAAAUGGCCUAGGCCCCCGCCAGCGCCAAACCACGUUAGCCCACAUGCUGAGAACAACAGGUGCCCCACCCACAGCACCAACCCAGUCGCCAACGGCAACUCUAACCCAAACUCCGACAGACACACUGCCUACCCCGCCACUAGCGCAACCCAUGCCACCGCCACUAACACAGCCCACGCCCCCACUAACAACACCAGCGGGCCCGGACGCCCCCAACACCCAGACACCACCCACAGUAGCGUCCCUCACAACGGCCCACCAGCAGCCAAAAAGUAAGAAACAACGACCCAACGCCAUCAAGCGCCUACAGCAAAAGAUUGCUGCUGACCCCCGGCACGACCCACUGCCACCUACCGAUAUGCGCAGCCACACAGAGAAAUCUGGCUUUAUACUACGACAACUACGACUAACAACGACCCAGACGAAAAUGACUCCGGUCCCCCGAACUUUGUCAUGUGGGCACCACACUACUUUGCCAAUGUACAAAAAGACAUGCAAGGAACCAACCGCAUGCCUCGACUUGGAAUUCCCCGCCACCACAGCAAGUUCCCGCAAAACCGCACUCGCCCCAACCCGACCCGUACAACCCCAGCCCACCUCGCAGACCCCUACUUCCUGGGCAGUCAGGUGGACGACACCAAUCCGCUAAACCCCGUCACAGCUUACAUAUCCGCAAACCCGCCAACAACACCUCCCACCUGUGCUUAUGACUCCCGACCGAGAUGGGCAGACACUGGGGAUUUCAUGAUUGCACCUGAGCCUCCAAACUGGCCGAACAUCACUGGUGCCACACCGGGGGACAGCCACGACCCCCGCCAGGCUGACCACGACCCACAAGGACAAAUGCGUGCAUAAUAUAUGCAGGAGCGUGAACGCCUCCGUGCACACUUGGAUGACCACCCACCCCAACCAAGACCCUUCAAGCGUUGGAUGGGAAUCCGACUCCAGCUCCUGACAGGCAAACUACCCUGGCCGACGCAGGCAUACCACGUUGCCCAAGCAGCGAAGCAACUAGUGUACUCCCUGUACCACGACAUUGAGGAAAUCUCACACAUUCAAGCUGGGCCCAUCACUAAAGCCGUCACUGCCCCAGAGAAGGGUGACAGUCUCCACACCGAGCGCUACUAUGAGGUAGCUUGGAAGGACACAACCAUCGUUAAAGGAGCGGCUGAGGCCUACACCCGCAUGAAGUAUACUGGGACUGCUGCCGCACACAUGGGAUACGGGCAAGCGUGCUGCAAACAUUUCCUGCGCAUGAAAUGGGACCCCACCAGCGAACCCGUAGACAAAUGCCCCACCCUCCAAGGGUGGACCCCUGCCAUCUCCGAACACUUGCGGAAACUUGCAGAACCCCCUACACCCAUGCCACAACCCAAGCCCAAAGACGCCCGUCUUACACCUGCCCAACAGCAAGGGCGAUGGACGCAAGCCGACGUGGCCGCGUCCCACGUCCGACGUACCACCAAACAGAACACGCGCAUUGACACCAACCCGUGCAACCCCUACCUCGACGUCCACCCCACCGGAAGGUAUACAAUCCAAAUCCCAGACACGUACACUGAUGAACGCACCCUCGCCCACGUCUACAGCCCUACCGGACGCCACAUAGCAUCCAUUACGCUAGGCACCUUGCUGACUCUUAAAGCUCGGUAUGAACACGCCCUAUCUACCCACCAUGACGCAACCAGCCCGCACCGAUCUCAAGGGGGCUUCCCGGAAGACCUGGCUAAACUGCUACUCCGCGCUCGGGUAGACAGCAAAGGCAAGACAUGCAAGUCGGCCCCCGCACGUGAGCGCUCUCUCCCCGAGUCCCUGAAGCUGGCGCUGUAUAACUGCCUUGCCUCGACACACUCAGACCCUGACCGCCCAGUGGGGCUGGUGGAACGCUUUGCCUCUCCACUCAACUGCUCGGGCCGGGCCACUAAAUAUUACAGCCAACACGCAGCUGACUCCCUCUUCGGGGCCUCACAUGAUGCGUACACGGCCCCGUUUGAUGGCCUUUCCCUCGCCCACCCUGACCCUGACCCAGACGCCUGCACAAAGGCACUGGCGUGGGCAACAGCAUCGAUCGAACACCUAGAACACCAGGCCACCCCCGCCAUUACCUUCAUGAUUAUCCCACAAGGCAAAGGCGCCGCCAGCCGGUGCCUUGCGAGUCCGCAUGUCACCAUCCUGGCCCUGAUUCCGCCUGGCGUAUCCGCCUCUAGCAUGUUAGAUGGCCUCGGGGCGGCCGACGAGGCUGCCAGCAGCAAGCAGGGCCUGCAGCUACUCCUCAUUGCGAACACCACAGGGGUACAAGCACUCAACUCCAACAACAACCUGACACGUCUCCAAACCUCCCUGGCCGAACUUGGAGCAGUGCCGCCACCGACCUCGCAACCCCCAGGGCGCCGACAACCACUGGAGUGGCCCGCGCGCGUAACCCUCCCCCGUGACCGCACAGCCCCACCGGGCCGACCAUACAGCCACCGUGCAAAAGCCCGUGCAAAGCAGCUAACUAGACCCCAAGCCCCAGCAGCACGGGGCCUGGACACAUGCCCUACGCCCAUGCCCACGCUCUCUGCCCUCUACACCACACGAGCUGCCUUCCCCACUCGGAGCAGAUACCUGUACGAUGCCGCCACCAUUGUUUGGACCGACGGAUCUUGCAUCAAAGUUGCAGCCGGUGAAGAUGGCAACAAAAUGAACAAACUCGGUGCCUGCGCGUGGUCCCAACAGACCGAACACAUCUACGUCGAACCAGGCGGCCUCAACAGCACCAACACAAUCCAGAGAGCCGAACUAUCAGCCAUUCUCGUUGCGUUAGAAUACAUCCGCCCCCGACUCUGUCUGCUGGGCAUGACCCAAGUAACCAUAGCCAGUGAUUCCCUAGUGUCUCUCUAAUUGAUCCGCCGAGCCCUUACUGCACCACAACGACUCCUACUAUCCAAGCAUAAAAACCUGCUGGAAAACAUACUCCACGAGCUACAAAUGUAUGCCGACGCCGGGGUCCCAGUCCAGCUGCUAAAAGUCCGCUCUCACACAGGGCUCCACGGCAACGAGGAAGCUGACAAAGGUGCCGCCAAAGUCGCCGCCAACGACAUGGAGGCCAUGGGGCAGGCCAUACGCUUAGCACCAGACGAACCGUGGUCCAACAUCUGGUGGCCCAAACGCAACUCUGACAAUUUCUACCUAAGUGACCUAAACCGUGGAGUCCUGAACUCAUUGCCCCCCGAAGCACAACAAGGCUUUACCAAUAAUACACCAGUGCUGGAGCAAUGGGCGGAAGCAUCUGCCAAUAAUAAUAAUAAUAAUUACAACGCCGGCCCAUAGGGCCUGGCAUGGAUUAACGGGGCAAGGUGACUAGGGCGAGAGGGCCCGCCCCCCUCACGCUGACGCCUCACCACGAAAGAGUCACAACCUCCAAACUACAACCUCCAUGUCCUAGGCCGCUCUUCAAAGUCCACUACGUCCAAGCCUGCACACCUAGCAUAUCGAGCUAGGGAAACGCCGCGUUAUAGUAGUGGAGCACUGCCAGUUCGUGCAAACCGAGGAGCCAUGGCGCUCCUCCUCGAGCCUUGGAUCUUGAGCCUUGUCUUGAACCUUGGACCUCGCCACUAAAUCGGACUUCUGCACCACGACCUUUCUAGGUUGCAGCGGGCAUAAGCCCGCAAUUGCCACUAAGGGCAAUUACCUGUCGUUCGUGGGAUCACCAAUCGGUUUCGCACCAAUCUUUCACCUUUUGCAUAAUUGGGCUUUUAUCCGGAUUCGUACCCGGGUCCCUUCUGCUGUAAGGACGAGUCAAAUCGCUAACCAGCUAGGCCGGGGGCCUGAUUGUGCACACCCUCCUCCUCUGGGCGCGAGGCGGGGGAGGGGGUGGGUGUGGGAUGCCCCGCGGCACGUAUGGUCAAGGUGUUGGGAUAGGGAGGACGCAGGCCGGCGACGAGGUUUGCUGCAUGUAUACUGCCGCCAUGCAGCAGCCAAGACCUUCGUUGAAGGGCGGCGUGCAUGUGUGUGUGUGUGUGUGUGUGUGUGUGUGUGCGUGUGUGUGUAAUGCACGGUAUGUGCGUGUUCGUGUGUGUGUGUGUGCCUGAAAGGUUUGUCAGCCGUACAGGCAUUGAUUGGUGCAAAGUAAGCAAGGAGUGUUCACCAGUGCCAUCACCAACAAAACUGAUUAACGGGCUGUGUCAUGAUGGUUUGCAAGUCAAGAGCGCUCAUAUCUUACGAAGGCAGGGGCGGCGUCAGUGGCCGAAUUCCUUAAAAUAGCUUGGUUUAGUUGACGAAACAGGCUGCCGCUGCUUCACGCCCCUGACUCGUACUCCUUGCUGCGUUCCGCCGACGUAACCUGACUCUCCCGUCAGGGGAAUCCCUGUCUCCCGCCGUCCACACUCAACAUGCAUAGAUACAGCCGUUUGAGCCUUCUUACGAUAUGCCACCAAUUCUAGCGCGCGACCAAGGCAAAUGUAACGACCGCCCCCAACAUCAUUAGCGCUUCUAUGGUGGUGUCCAUUCGUGAGGCAGACUCUGAACACACGCAACAGUGCAACAACAACAGCUAUAACAAACCACCUCAGCGCUUGUGAUGAUCUGUGGUCAACAGCCGUCAUUGAUGUGUGAGGCCUACGUCUCCCUUGUUGCAAGUCGUGGUGCAGAUGCAAGCAGAGCUGGCCUGGCUUAGGGCACGUGCGCUAGUACCCACGCAAGCUGAUACGGGAGCACGUUGAUCACGUCGGGUGGUGCGCCAUGGCGAGAGUGCAUCAUGUGCAGCAGAGCAGCAUGCAGGCGCCGCCAUUCAUCUACGGAAACGGGCGCGUGCCAGGCCUCCCACAGGUGCACGACUUCGAAUCCGUGGCCGUACACGCUCCACGCCACGUCAGACGUGUUGGUGAUGGUGGGAGGACCAGGAGUGGGUGCAAGUGCAUUGCCGGGCGCGGUGGGAGUGGUUGGCUGGAGAACGUUGAAUGCUGCAACGGCCAUGCCGUCGGGCGUGGCGCGCAGGACGCGCAGGGUUGGCAGGUUGCAGGCCCAGAGUGCGAAAUUCGCGGCACUGGAGAAACUGGAGGGAGCGUCAGGUGGGCCCAGGAGAAUGGCACCGGUCCAUGCGCCGGUAGACUGCACUUGUUGGUGCCCCUGCGUAGGGUGGGGGAUGGCGGAUUGGAGUGGAGGUGUGGGCGUGCAGUGGAAGGCAUGGGGCCGCAGCAGGUUUUGGAUGCGGCAGGUAGAGGGCGGGAGGUACGGUGGACACCUAGACUCCUAGGCACGACGCUGCUGCCGUGCGAGCCCCUGCCGCACCCGGACACGUGCCCGCACCUGCUGUAGGAGUAGGUCGUAUGCCCAUUGCAUAGCGUGUUCGCUGCCGGCCAUGGCGAUGGCGUCAAGGUCGAUGCGAGCGCCACGGUCAUGGAGGAGCUGCAGGAUGGGCAGGGGUGCGCCAUUGCGGGCCGCGGAGGUGAAAGCCGAGUUGUAUGCCCAGGUGUCCUGCGGAUGGGCAGGCGGUACGGCUGCAGCCACCAUGGCAACUGUGUCCCAGGAGGAGAUCUGUGCAACCAUGUGCAAGUCGUGCGCUGUUAUGCUGAAACCGCGGCGUAGGAAUGCUUCUGCUUGUGGGCGGUUGUCUCUAAGCCGGAUGACGCCCUCGUCGCGGGUCGAGGAGAAGAGCGUACAGCCUGCGUUGCAGUGGCGCGCGGCCAUUUCGCCCAUGUGGAGGACUGUGUCUGCAGCUUCGUCAGGGGUGCCAUGCUGUAGAAGCAGGCGGUUGCGUAGGUCCUGCGGCACAGCCACGCCGGCUGCGGCCAGCGUUGCUAGGACCGCGGGAAUGUUUCUGAGGUUCGGGUCGCGCAGGAACGUGUCAGAGCUCAGGAGGUCUGUUGCAACAGCCUGCCAGCCUUGCGGUGCGCGCAGCAGCAGCAGCUGGAUGCUGUCUGUGUUGGGCACAGGCAGUUGAGACGCCGCGAGUGUGAUGCUGCGGCAGACGCGCAGCACGACUGACGGAUCGGGUGGCUGAGGUGCUGGUGGCUGCGGCAAGGCUUCUUGAAUGGCUGGCUGUUGUGGUGGUGGCGCAGGCGCUGCUGGCGGAGCCACGGCUGGGAAGGCAGGUGGCUGUUGUGCUGCCGGCGCGUCCACCGCGGGCGGUUCUGCUGCUGGGUCCGCAGGCAGUGGCAGCGGCAAGCUGUGCGGCCACUCAGGAAUGUAGGUGGUGAGCACGUGGUUCAGGAACUGGGUGGAGCAGCCUGCUGCGAUGCCGUCCAUGAUUUUGGCUCGCCAGUACGCGCCGUACCAGCUGUACGGCGGGGCAUGCUGCAGGGCGCGCUCGACUAGGGCUGUGUGUCCGCGUGCAGCCGCUGCCUUGAUGCUGCUUGCUGGAAGGGUGUGCCAGGCGUCGUGCUGUGCGAAUCGGGCGUUAAGGAAGUCUAGCACACUGCUGUGGCCGCCGAUGCAAGCGCCCUGUUGCGUGCUGGUGUACAGCUCUUGCCAGUCUUGAGGGUCUGCGUGUGCUACCGUGUCGAAGAGGAGCGUGAGGACAUCAAGGUGCCCGGCGCUGCCGGCGGCCACGAAUGCUGAGCAGGUGAGCGCGCAGCCGUGGCUGAUGAGCUGUUGGCAGAGGUGCAGCAAGCCAGCCUGCGCGGCGGAUGCCAGUACCUCUGUGUUCAUUGCAACGCCGCUGUACUGGAUUGCUGCAGUGGCGCUGGCUGCGUGCCCUGACGCCGCUGCGAGGCAUGCGAGCCGGCGUCGUUGCGGCAGGGACAGGUGGGCCCAGGCGGCUGCGGUGGCGAAGUUCUCCUGGAAUGCGCGGCCGGGCCAGCCCGGUGGUGGCACGUGCGUGUCAAGCCGCCGAGGUCGCACCACGUCCUUCUUUGCGACUGCUGGCACCUUUGGUCCGCCUCACCGCGAUCGAGUCGAGCGCAACCUCAAUGGUGUGCGCUUCAUUUUCCUAGAUGAGUUUAGCACGUGUGGGCUGUCCCACUGGGCGCGCAUUUGCAUGCAUGUGCACGCGGCACGGAGGCACGUGGGUAUAGACAGCACGCACCUAUAUCACGGGCCGCUGUCAGAUCUGCAUGGCCUGCUUGUUGGCGACUUGCGUCAGUUGCCACAGCCACGGCACGUGCCGCUAUAUAGCGGUGCUGCGGAAGAGAGCUUGCGGCAGCUGCUGGCGCCGGGCGCGGGGGACGGCGGGGCCAUGGAGCGCCAGAUCCGGCAGCUGGAGCAUCCGGAGGGCAGCAUGAACCUCAUGGGGCGGGAGCUGUGGAAUAUGGUGCCGUUCGCGUUCGUUCUCACUCACCAGCAUCGGCAGCAAGCAGGCGUAGGUGACAACAACGAACCUCUCUUCAUGCUAGCGGAGAAGUUUGGUGGCGUGCAGGAAAUCUCUCAGGCAGAUCUGGAUACAGCGUGCCAGCAGCUCAACGCGCGUGUUUGGCAGCCCCCGAAGCCAGGGAUUGACCCCGUGCCCCAGCCCUUUGCAGUUGUCCAGCGCCAUGUUGUGCGGGUUCCACUGGCAUUGCAGCUCGUGCAGCUGCAUGCGCUCGCGCAGCGUCAGCAGCUGCUGCUAUGGCGUAGCGCGGACUUGUCGCCGGACGGGAGCAGCUUACCUAUUUCGCAUGUGCAUCAAUUAGAGGCGCUUGGCGGGGCCGAGGAUGAUAGCGGUGUGCCCGCUGUGUGCGCAUUCUUUGCUGGCAUUCGUUACGUGUUUACAUCAAAUGAGCAUGUGCGUCUGUAUCACAUCAACAACAACAGUGCCACAGGCACCGGCAUUGUUCUGCAUCCCAACGAGUCACCAUUGCCAGAUGCAAGCAUUGCCCCCGUGCAUGUCCUCAAGUUCGUGCCCUCGGCUGUAAUGGUGCGCCCCGACGGGCCUGAUGCGGGUCGGGUGUCUGUCGAUCAGGCCCUGGAUGUCGGGGAGAUUCCUGUUUUACCGUGCAGUGCUAUGUUCACAUCGCAGCAUGCAACCCUGCGGUUGCCUGUGAUGCGCUGGGGCUUUCGUGUGGAGCUUGCGUAUGCAGUCACCGAUUACUUUGCGCAGGGGCAAACUCUGCCAGCGCACGAACUGUGGCUGGUGGAUAUGUGCAAACCGCAGCACGGCAGUUGGCGGCGGGCUUCAAUUUACGUAAUGCUCACCAGGUUUCGUGGGUUGCAUGCCUUACAUUUAGUGCGUCCGCUGUGGGCCUCGCGGGCCGAAGAGCGCCGGCUUAAAAAGGCGCUGCGUACCAUGCUAACGCCCGAGGCAGAUCUAGCCGCGGAAUGGCAGCGGCUAUUGAGGCUCUCGCAGAGCACAGCAGUAGCAGUGCCAGGUAUGAUUGUGCGCAUUCAGGCCAGCAUGGCUGCCUCAUAACCAAGGCUUUCAAUGCAUGCAGUAGUGUUUUUAACAUGCGCGAGGUGUACUGACAGAUGACCUGGAAGCGUGGAGUACCUUGUGGGUGGUGAGUGCUGACUGCAAUUUACAGCAGUGACUUUCUUGUUGGUGUUUGGUGUGGUGACCAUCAUGCUUGGCUUCGCUGGCUGGACGUAUGUCACUGAGCUACGUUCGGGUUUAGUUUCUACCUGUCCUGUCUCUGCGUGAAGCCGGGGUAUUGUUUAUCUGCUUGCUUGUCGUGCGUUGGAUUGUUGUGUGUUUACAACAGGUUGAUGUGUGGCGUGGUUAAUCCCUUGCACUUUGAGGAGGUUAUUGUUAGCCAGCUGGUGUUCGCACAGGAGGUUGGUGGUCGAUGAACAGUCGACCGACAGAUGGAUCGCGGGAUUUGUUUUUGGCAUUUACCGCUUGGAUUCUAUUCGCAACGUAGCUCGGAAUACACGCUUAAUAUGCAUAGUUAGAAGACUUCGGGGACGCAAAUCGCUCGGAAAUGGAGGAGGGUCUCAAUAUGCUCGGCUCGCGAUGUCGCGCUCUUGAGCUUGUAUUAUGCACUGUGCGCAAUGCGCGUUCAGCAUGCAUAUUCUUACGAACAACUAGGGACUUGAGUGACGCGGUGUGAAAAUCAGUCGGGGUCUCGACAUGCUUGGCUCGCCAUUUCGCGCUCCCGAGCUCGUUGUGUGUGUUCCGAACAAUGCACGCUCAGAAUUACAUGUUCAAUAUGUCCGUCGCGAUGUUCGAGCUUGAAAACCGACAAGCAUGGUGUAUAGAUACACCUGGUAGCCUGAAUUCCUGUGUUUUUGGUGUAUUUUGUUGAUGUUGCAUCACGCCGUGCCUUGUCACAUUCAUGUUUUUUGUACCGGCGUGGCCUUGUUUGUAAAUUUCGCGGCGCCCUGAUCUUAUCUACUUCUUCGCUGUGAUCUGGCAAAAAAAACUGUUCUUGACGGGAUUCGAACCUGUGACAGCAUCUCACUAAGCGCCAUAAUCAGACCCUCCAGAGGAGGGUGUGCACUGAGUUAGCGAUCCGGUGAUGAAGCAUCUGCCAACAUGUGCCCCACCCUCAGCAACCGCACCCUCGCCAGCUCCACCAGGCACCCCUGGCUGGUCAAGCAAAUACUCUACGCCCGCUAUGGCUACCUCUUCAACGCACAGCUUAAACGGCGCUACCGCCUGGGAGGGAACGGCAACUGCCCCCUCUGCCACACCCCUGACUCCGGCGGGCACAUCCUCGGAGGCUGCACACACCCUAAAAUGAAAGGUGCGUACAUCAAUCGGCACAACUGGGCAGUCCAGCGUGUCGCCAAAUGCAUCUCCAAAGGGACCUACGGGAACGGGUUCAUGGUCAUGGACGCGGGCCCGCUAGCCGACCUGCCACACUAUGCGUCUGCACAACGCCCCCCCGCCUGGCUGGCUGCGGAGAGGACAUCACCACCCCUUAUUACAAGGCUCAGACCUGACAUUCUGUUCAUCCCAAACCUGCCCGCCCAUGAAACACAUAGAGAAGGGUACCGCCCGCCCCUGAACAAAGCACGGCUGCCCAUCUAUAUCCUUGAAAUCGGUUACAGCUCUGACGUCCGCCAUUUGGACAAGCGGGAAGAAAAAUCUCAACAACACCAAGAACUCAAGCGACUGCUGGAAGCGGCCGGAUGGACGGUCCACUACUCCACCAAUGAAUGCCUUGCGCUCGGAGUGACUGGGGCCAUCCCUUGCAACCUCACUAAGCUGCUCACCUCUCAACUUGGGGUGACCCACACAGCCGCACGAGUAUGCGGAGAGAGGCUCCACACACACGCUGUGAACAGUGCGGGCGGCAUUAUCAAAAUGCGCCGAGUAACCGAGCAGGAACUCAAACCGAGAGGCGGGUGAGCCACGGCUCCCCCACACCUCCUCGGAGUGCGUGGUGAGGUGGCAGCGCGAGGGGGAUGGGCCUCCUCGCCCUAGCCACCUUACCCCGAUAAUCCACGCCAGGCCCCAUGGGCCGGCGUUUGAAUUAUUAUUACUAUUACAGGGUUGGCGAUGCGGAUCAGACCCCAACUUUUGGCAGCAGGUCCGGCUGACGUGCUUCUGUCUGAUCCACAUCGCUAGCAUGUUGGUGUUGCAGCUGCCGUUGACAUGUCUGCAUGUCGACAUGUCAGGGCCCCGAAUCAGUAUUCUAACCCUGAUACCCAGUCAUACGUGUCCAAAAUCAUCUAUAUGCAUAAUAUAUAACACUUAAAUGCUCCGAGGCCGAUCAGAUCAUGUGCACCUAACAGCAUACAUUUUAACAUGUCAACAUGUCGACAUCCCACUGUGGCAGCCGUGUUGAUCACGAAUACGCAAACAGCUAGUAACUAACAAGUAUUAUGCAUCCAUGUAGCUAUUUGGUGCUGUUGCGGUGGUGGCUGCGGAUGCUGGGGUCGCGGUUGAGGCCGAGGCGUCCGCGCGCGCGGUCCACUAUGCUGCCGAGGAAGUCCGUGUAUUGCGUGUUCGCCUCCGCCUCCGCCCCCGCCCCGGCGCCCACACCCGCCCCGGCCCCAGCCACAGCCGCCGCCGCCCCGCCAGCGCCGUCAGCACCGAGCAGGCUCCGCGCGCGCAGCCAUGCGCUGUCGUUCCAGCUGCGGUCCCGCUGCUGAACGGCGUGGUGGUGCGUGUAGUGGGCCUUGCUGCUGCCCGGCACCACGAUGCCGUGCUCAGGGUAGCUGCGGCGCAGGUCCGUCAGGAAGUCCACCCGCGACAGGUAGCCCAGCAGGUCCCACAGGCGCGGCUUGUAGCCAAUGCCGCGCACGAUGAUGGAGAACUCGUUCUCACAGUCAUCGGUGCUCAGCGCGCGCAGCACCGCCAGGCUAGCGGCUGCCGGUACAGCCAGCAGCAGCUGCAGCAGUGCCUCAAUGUUGGCCAUCAUGGAGAAGAUCAGGUCCGUGGUGACGCCCAUCACCUUGCUGGUGCGGCUGGCGAACUUGGCGGCCAGCCGCGGGUUGUUGAGGUGCGGCAGCACCAACGACCGCAGCAGCGCAUGCAGCGCCUGCAUGCGCUGCACCCGCGCCGGGCAGGUCAGGUGCGCCAUGUCCCACGCCUGGUACUCCUCGCCCAGGAUGCGCAGCACCAGCGCAUCCAGUGCGAAGCCCUGGGCCACGAGCGCCUCCUGCAGCCGCGUGUCGUACACUACAGCUGUGGCCGUGGGCACACUCUGCGCGUCCGCUGACUUGUUCAGGCCAGCAGUGAUGUGCGCCAGUUGCGGGUUGCCAGUGGCUGCCGCCAGCACGUUCGAGAGGCUGAGCAGGUUAGUCACUGUGUCCGCGCCGCCGCUGCCACCACGUCCAGCCCUGCCACUGCGGCUAGUGCUGCUGCUGCUGCUGCCAGCGGCCACGACCUCCGCCAACUGUGCCCGCAGCUGCGCAAUCAAGCACUUCAGCUUGUGCAUGUAGUCCUCGUGGUCGAGCAGCAGGCGGUCGGUGUGGAUGGAGGCGACACAAAUGGUCAUUCGACGGCUUAGGGAACGCGUGAACACAGCCAGGCAGGGGGUGACAUUAGCGGACAUGAGCAGACGAAUCAGCUUACUUGCUUGCAGGAGACACCACCAUUGCCUCGCCUCCGCCACCUCCAGCUGCAGCCGCAGCAGGAGCCGCCGGCACGCCAGUGCGCAAUACAUCAGCGUAGCUGGUGUUUGACCGCCGUGCUGACUUACGCGCCCCGCCGCCACUGCUGCUGGCGGGCGCCAGCGCCGCUGCUGCGGGGGCAGCUAGGCUGCGCAGCUCACGCACUGCGGCACCACGCUGCGGCACCGCGCUCCCUCUCAUGCCCGGAGCCCGCGCCAGCCGCGCUGUGAUGUCGGGCGCCAGCUCCGGCUCUACAGCUGCUGCUCGCUGUGCCGCGCGCGUCCGCGGCUGAGCUUCCCGCGCUUCCCGCGCGGCGAUGACCUCCUCCGCGAGCGCACCCACGGCCUUGGAGUUGGCCAAGUAAUGUUUAUUGCAAAUGUAUGCAAGAUUGCAGCCGUUUGCCUCUGCAACGGCCAGCUUUUUGGCUUCCUCGCUGGUCGCGACAAUGCGGAUGGGUCCCGUGUGGCCUCGCAGGGGCGGGCCAUUCUUCUGCCUAAUUUGUUUGUCCGUCGCUCCACAAACGCAACAGGCUGGUGUGGCUUCCAAAGAAGGCAUCCUACCGAGACAUGCUAGGGAUUAUGGCAGUGUUUGCGAGAUAGCCAUUUUCAAACGCAGCCGCUUGGGACUUAGCAAGUGUAUGACCAUAAAAGCUUAAGUUUGUUAUGGCGGGCUGCACAUCUGCGCGAAUGCGGAGAAACACGUGUGGACACGUUUUUGCCCCUCCCCAGACCGGCGUCAUACCCGUGUGGGCAGACGCGCUGCCCCCCUGCUGCCUGAAAGCAGCCUGGUCCCCGAGACCAGAACCCUGACAGGGCAAGAAGAGAAGAAAAGAGAAGAAAACAGAAAGCAAACACCUCGAAACCGCCAACAACCACCCCCACCCAUCCCACCCCACCCCGCCCCGACCCGGCAGACAGAGCAGGAGGCUGGCCCCCCCGCCCCCCGGGAGGGGUUGCACAAAAACACCGCCAGACCUAACCCAAGCACCAACCUACACCACAGCCUAACCGCAAGAACCACCACCAGAAAAAGAAACACCAGUGCUACCAUCACUCGACCCGCCGCAACCCACCCCACCCCCACAAGUCGGUUGCUUAAGCAACACCCCAGGAGAACCGGCAGAGGAGACACAAGCAGAAAAAAAAUAAUAAUAAUAAUAAUCCCAACGCUGGCCCAUAGGGCCUAGCAUGUAUUAACGGGGCAACGCCUUCGCUGAUCAUCUCUCAACCCAGUUCGAGAGAAGGCGGGAAGUCACCACGACCACCUUAUCAUUUGCCGUUCCUGCCCACCGGUGGGAGCGGGGUGGAUUAAGCCCCUGGUGUCCUAUCCAUGUUCAGCUCGGAUGAUCUACUCUCACGGCUUUCGGUACCUGAGAUCGGAGGAUCAGGUAAUGCCGACUGUCGGGCAACAUCUCAACUGAAACUCUGGAUUGCUCCAGAGUCCGGCCCCUUUGCCGGCACUUCAUGACCGCUCUCUUAUCUGACGUUAGCCACGGAUGACAAGGACACGACUGAAGAGCCGUGAGGUCCCUGCGGAGCGCCUGUGCGUGAUUUGAAUACGUACGGAGGUUUCCCCUGUGCCGAAUUUGGGGAGGAUCGAACUCGGGUCUGAACCGACGUUACACACCAACUUAUCGCUAAGCAACCUCUGCCUUGGUCGAUGAGACAAGCAGAAAACUAAACGGGCCAGAUGUGGAGCUGACUAAGCGGGCUCCAGCCCGCUGCAAGACGCGCUGUGCGGGAAGUCCCACAGCCGCCCAGGCGCUGCGACGCCAGCCAGAGCUAAAACACAUGGGCGCCAGAUAAGCUGAUGACGAUAAACGCCAUGCCAGCGCCUGGAACGAACCGCCGCCCAAAAGGAAACCUAGGGGGCCUGCACAGGUGAUGCAAGCGUCAGCCGCAAGUUCAACUUCGGUGACCCACCCUGAACCUGUUGGAUGGUGAUUACGACUAUCGCUAGCCGGAAGUAGGGGCGGCUGACAGUCAGACUGUUUCGCACAUUACAUAGUACCACACUACUUGACUAUAUCGGGUAGCUCUCUGGCUUAUACCCUCGCAUGGGUUCCGGGUUAAGUCCUUGCAUGGUGUAUCGCACACACACUCUCGGAACUCCCCUACGUUCUCCCUUAUGGAUAGUUCUGACCGAUAUCUCAACACUCCCCCGCGGGCAGAACUCCAUAC